AACUCAGUGGUUCUUUAACACCUCUUUAUGAGGAUUUUGUCUCUGAUACCACCAGUGAUAAGGAUCAACGUGACACUUGUGCACCACACUUUCUUUCACUACCACAAACCGAGUCCAUCAUUGAUUUAGUGUCAGUAGGCAGACUUUCAAUUAAACCUAUAAAACAGAAUAAUCAAGUAGCUUCUUAUGAAAUCUAUUUGUAUAUUGGGUCCAAAAUUUUAAAAGGGCAUUUGAAACCCUUGACAAAACCCUUCCUAUGUUGCCAACCUUCUUGUGAAAAUGUCUCAAGUUUAACUAUUUCUAGUUUAGAGGAAAGUGACAUGCCUUCUCUAACAACAUAUGGUAUAGUCCGUGAAAAAAUUGUUUUUGAUACACGACCUAUUACGCAGUGGAUUUAAAUAUUUGUUAGUCUGUACUAAGGAUCGUGAUUCGAAUUCUUCGCGACACUGACUUGAUAUUUCCUUAUUUGAUGUUUUAGUUUUUUUUUUUCUCAUCUCGGUCUACAAAUUCCUGUUUUCUGGGUUAAUUGUAAAAUUAAUAAAAAAUCUUUAUUUGACAAUUUCCUUUCCUUUUAAUAAUUGUUUCUUUUCUUCCUUAUUAUUAAAAAAAAAAAUUUAUAAUCUUAUAAAUUUUCACUGUAUACACAAUAUUAAGAGACGCUUUUAUUUAAAGAGUCUAUGUAUUGAAGACGCCUCAUGCGGAUUACACCUCGUUACGAUGAAAUAUCUACCUUUUUAAAACAAAAAAAAAUUCACAAAAUUGUAAUUAUCUAAGUAACCCCGUUUAAUUUUUUUCUAAUUUCGCGACAUUGUUUUUUUUGAUACUCCUCCUUAUGUAAGUUUUACCCGAGACUCUUCUCUUAAAGAAAUGUAAAAAAAAAGCAAGAUGACGAUUCAUCAUCGUUUUUAAAAUAACAAUACAAAAAAAAUGCAUUUCUUAGUCGACAAAUCAAACGUUCAAUUUUAUUAGUGUCUAAAAGAUUGCAUUAUAAACCUAUCGCAAUCUCCUUGUAAAGCCAUUUGUUGUUAUUUAAGUUCAUGCAUAAUUCAACAUCAAUAACAAAUUCUUCAACGAAGGUUAACCAUGAAACAAUUACUUUAAAGAAGAAAAAGAAAUAACCAACGAAAUGGUUCUACACAAUUUCUUUUUUGAAUUUGUCUUACCGAAAGAAAACCACAAUGCUGCUUAUAAGACUGCUUUCACUAGUCAAUGCAAAAUCAAUUAUAUACAGGCAGGCGACUAUGAAUAAACAUCUAACUGUUAAGCGAGUCAGAUGCAGCUUAAUUCCUGUGUAUUACUUAUUCGUUUAAUGUAAGGCAAGGUAUACGGCAGUAACGGUUCAUGAAAUAAGAUAUUUUGAACGUUGACAAGUUUAGUCCAUACAAAAAAUUUAAAUUUUUCCAAUGGUAGCAGAUCCUUAUUAAAUUUUUUUUACAUGCUUG